rnacentral:rRNA from 1 species
AUUGAACGCUGGCGGCAUGCUUUACACAUGCAAGUCGAACGGUAACAGGGAGCUUGCUCCGCUGACGAGUGGCGAACGGGUGAGUAAUAUAUCGGAACGUACCCAAGAGUGGGGGAUAACGUAGCGAAAGUUACGCUAAUACCGCAUACGAUCUAUGGAUGAAAGCAGGGGACCUUCGGGCCUUGUGCUCCUGGAGCGGCCGAUAUCUGAUUAGCUAGUUGGUGAGGUAAAGGCCCACCAAGGCGACGAUCAGUAGCUGGUCUGAGGGGACGACCAGCCACACUGGAACUGAGACACGGUCCAGACUCCUACGGGAGGCAGCAGUGGGGAAUUUUGGACAAUGGGCGCAAGCCUGAUCCAGCAAUGCCGCGUGAGUGAAGAAGGCCUUCGGGUUGUAAAGCUCUUUUGUCAGGGAAGAAACGGCUGUGGCUAAUAUCCACGGCUAAUGACGGUACCUGAAGAAUAAGCACCGGCUAACUACGUGCCAGCCGCCGCGGUAA